rnacentral:rRNA from 1 species
UACGUAGGGCGCAAGCGCUAUCCGGAAUUAUUGGGCGUAAAGAGCUCGUAGGCGGUUUGUCGCGUCUGCCGUGAAAGUCCGGGGCUCAACUCCGGAUCUGCGGUGGGUACGGGCAGACUAGAGUGAUGUAGGGGAGACUGGAAUUCCUGGUGUAGCGGUGAAAUGCGCAGAUAUCAGGAGGAACACCGAUGGCGAAGGCAGGUCUCUGGGCAUUAACUGACGCUGAGGAGCGAAAGCGUGGGGAGCGAACAGG